CAGCCGCCGCGGGAAUACAGAGGGUGCGAGCGUUAAUCGGAUUUACUGGGCGUAAAGCGUGCGUAGGCGGCUUCUUAAGUCGGAUGUGAAAUCCCUGAGCUUAACUUAGGAAUUGCAUUCGAUACUGGGAAGCUAGAGUAUGGGAGAGGAUGGUAGAAUUCCAGGUGUAGCGGUGAAAUGCGUAGAGAUCUGGAGGAAUACCGAUGGCGAAGGCAGCCAUCUGGCCUAAUACUGACGCUGAGGUACGAAAGCAUGGGGAGCAAACAGGAUUAGAUACCCGGGUAGUCCCUGUCUCUUAUAA
rnacentral:rRNA from 1 species